AUUGAACGCUGGCGGCAUGCCUUACACAUGCAAGUCGAACGGCAGCGGACCUUCGGGUGCCGGCGAGUGGCGAACGGGUGAGUAAUAUAUCGGAACGUACCUUUCAGUGGGGGAUAACGUAGCGAAAGUUACGCUAAUACCGCAUAUUCUGUGAGCAGGAAAGCAGGGGAUCGCAAGACCUUGCGCUGAUUGAGCGGCCGAUAUCAGAUUAGCUAGUUGGUGAGGUAAAGGCUCACCAAGGCGACGAUCUGUAGCGGGUCUGAGAGGAUGAUCCGCCACACUGGAACUGAGACACGGUCCAGACUCCUACGGGAGGCAGCAGUGGGGAAUUUUGGACAAUGGGCGCAAGCCUGAUCCAGCCAUGCCGCGUGAGUGAAGAGGGCC
rnacentral:rRNA from 1 species